ACGUCUGUGUUGUGGGGCAAUGGAGAUGUGGAAGUAUGUGUCCUGCAGAUCGAGGGCGGCGUACUAGUCCCUGGGAUCCAGGGAGGGGAUGAUGGAGGCCAGGGAGACCAUGUAGAACUUGGAGGAAAGCACACGACCAGCUGGAGAAGGGAAGCUUUAUUGAGGGUAGAUCCCUGAUGAGAACUGGUAGGGCACCCCCGGGCGUCCCGUCAAAAUCGCCUUUUCCCCAUUUGCUUGCCCUUGGAGGAUCCAGGCUGGGGGCCAGGGUGAGACUGACUCUGUAGGCACCUCUUAUAGUCUCGCGACUUCUUGUAAGAGGUCUCAUAUUUUGAGUGGGUGGCCUGAGCAGGAGUCUGCUACGGCUUGAACUUAGGUUUAGCCGGAGCCGGAACUGGAACUGAGAGACCCAGAGUC